UGUUUGAAAUUGAAGGGGGGAGAGAGAGAGAGAGAGUAGAGGGAGAGCCUUCUCCUUUUCCGAUCGGCGGCGAGACGCAGGAAAUCUCUGAUUGAGGGAGAACGCUACCUCAUCCGGAGCUGCCUUUGCCGGAGAAUGGAGGUAGUCUUCGUCAACGGCGGUUUUUUCAAAAGUUACGGUCGACAGUAAAACCAACUUUGGAAGUGAAAUCUACAGCCGUAGUUACGGUCAAUAUUGCUAGCAUUGGAUCAGCCACAAGCACUACAACCACAGCGGUAGCAGCAUGCGCGACGUCGAUCUGUAUGGCUGAAGGCGCCGCCGGCAUUCUCCGCAGUGUUUAUCUUUCUCUGUCUUAUGCUGUGAUUGCUUCAGCUGCUACAGCAUGCAGCAUAUCUUUUGGGGUUUCCAAACUUGCAAAAAUAUUUUUUCUUUCUGGUCAUAUUCACAUCUAGUUUGAUCCUUUGUUGGUACGUCUGAAUUUUCAAAAUUGAAUGAUGAAUUUUGCCAUUAAAAUCUGUCUCAAUUGUACCAAUGAAUUGCAACUAUUCUCCUAAUACUCAGCGCAGUUUUGGCACUGGCCCUUCAUGCCUUGGUCAACUACUUGUUCAUCUACCGUCUAGGCCUCACCUGAGGAGUAGCCAUGGCUGUGGCUAUCACAUACCAUUCCUAUGCUUUUCCAGGAUUAGCAGUUAGUCAUGGCAAGGGUGGUUUGUUGAAUGUUUUCAUGAAUGGAAACCGCUACUUUGGCUAGCGGUUCUUAGCUGUGUUUAGUUUGCCUGGACUGUGGUGAUAUGAGUAGAUGAUAGUCUUGGCAGCGUUACUUCUGGUGGCAGCCGAGGCAGUAGUUGCCAUGGGAAUUCUUAUACAAGCAACUUCUAUUGUCUUCAUCAUCCCUUGGGCGUUGAUUCUAAACCCAAAAUUACUUGUUGAGUCUCUUGGAUGCCAAUCAUUCUUUGCCUCUGCUUGCUUUUUUUGCUCAGUUCGUUCUCAUCAACACAAUCACCAUGAGGACAACAAGGCUCAAAUAGCUUGUGUUGUUCUCAUGGUAAUUGUGCUGAUGAGAACCAACUAGGUAAAACAAGCAAGCAGAGGUUGAGAGAUGAUUGACAUCUAAGAGAAAUAACAAGAAAUUUUGUGUUCAGGUCAAUGCCCAAGGGAAGAUAUGGACAAUAGAAGUCGCUUGCAUGAGAAUUCCCAUGGUGACCACCGCCUCGGUUGCCACUAGCAAUAAUGCUGCCAGCACUAUCAUCAACUCAUACCACCACCAUUCCAGGCAAACUGAAACACAACUAAGAAUCACUAGCCAAAGCUUUGACUUCCAUUCAUGAAAACAUUUAGUAGACCAGCCUUGCCAUGACUUAGUACAAGUCUUGGAAAAGCAUAGAUACAGUGAAAGUGCCAAAAGCUAAUGAGGUUUGUGAUAGCCAUGCUUGACCCCAUUACACUCACCAUAACUCAAGUUUCUCAUUGCUGAAAUAGUAUCUUCCAAAAACCCCUUUCGACUCAGAUCAUAUUGCCUCAGAAUAAUCUCCUCAGGGCUCUCCGGCAAACUUUUACUCGUGAAAUUAGUAGAAUUUCUGUUGCUAGAAUCAGCAAGAAGGUAAUGCCAUUUCUUGGCUUCCGGCAGACCAGAGGCUCAUUUGCAACUUCGAACUUAGAAGAACCAGUAGCCAGAUUGAUCAUUGAACACGAUUCCUGUCCUCUUUCCCACCCCUACCCAAUCCCACUCCAUGAAAAUGAGAAGCAACCACAAUGAAUCUCAGCUCCUCCAGAUCUCCUGCCAACCCCCUGCCUACAUGACACCACCUAGGGGGCAAAGGAAUGGCGGCUGCAGAGAAAACUAAUAGUCUCACCCAUGAGGCUGCCUUGAUGAUGAACAAGGGAAUGAUCACCAUCAUCUCCCAGCAGCAAUCUCCCUGUGUUUGGUGCAUUCUCUCAAAUUGGUUUUGGUAGUCAUUUGCAGUGGAUUUAUGGAGAGUAUGAUAAUAUCAAAUCCUGUGAGAUCCAUCCAAAUGUCUCCCUUUAAAAAUAUAAUAUAUUCUCUGGCUUUAUGGCACUGUUUGCUACUCCACUUGGUUCUUUCUUAUGCUAGUACUAGUACUAGUAUUAAACGAUGGGUUCAAGUUUCAGCUUGGUGGUGCUUCUCCUCUGGGUUCUAUCUUCAUGCUUAUGUUAGGGUUCGGCGCAUCUCUAUUUCUCUGUUUCUGUACUCUGGGGUUCCCUAUGCUUAGUGUUGCCUUUUGGUUUGGUUGAUCUUGCUUGCUUGAUUGCUUGGUGCCUGCUCUAGUGGUGGCAUGACAUCUUCAAGGGGUGUUUGUAGUUUCUUUAUUGUUGGCUGUUCUUAUUUUAUUAAAAAAAAAAAACUCGUCUUUGCCAAUUUUAGCAUUAAUUUUUAGUUAAUUAAUUAAUGUUUUGUUUGUGGUUUGGGUUACUAUUAAUUAAGAAGCACACUAACUGGCUUCUUAAUUUGUUGGUGCGUCUGAUUUUUGAAGUUUGAAUGAUGAAUUUUCUUCACCAUUAAAGUUUGUGUCAAUGGCAGGGAGGAGUUGCAAUUAACAACAGGGGCUCAUGUUUGUUGGUUGAAUUUUUCUAUUAUGAAUUAGUUAGUAGUUAGUGUUUCCAGACCCAAACGAGAACAGCACAGCAGCCUCCUGUUAACAAGUGUUUUGGUCAAGUUAACAGGUUGGGUAUCUGUUUUUCACAACUUAGAAUAGCGAAAGAUAUUUUCGA